GAUGAACGCUGGCGGCGUGCCUAAUACAUGCGAGUCGAGCGAACAGACGAGGAGCUUGCUCCUCUGACGUUAGCGGCGGACGGGUGAGUAACACGUGGAUAACCUACCUAUAAGACUGGGAUAACUUCGGGAAACCGGAGCUAAUACCGGAUAAUAUAUUGAACCGCAUGGUUCAAUAGUGAAAGACGGUUUUGCUGUCACUUAUAGAUGGAUCCGCGCCGCAUUAGCUAGUUGGUAAGGUAACGGCUUACCAAGGCAACGAUGCGUAGCCGACCUGAGAGGGUGAUCGGCCACACUGGAACUGAGACACGGUCCAGACUCCUACGGGAGGCAGCAGUAGGGAAUCUUCCGCAAUGGGCGAAAGCUUGACGGAGCAACGCCGCGUGAGUGAUGAAGGUCUUCGGAUCGUAAAACUCUGCUAUUAGGGAAGAACAAAUGUGUAAGUAACUAUGCACGUCUUGACGGUACCUAAUCAGAAAGCCACGGCUAACUACGUG
rnacentral:rRNA from 1 species